UGCCGCGUGUGUGAAGAAGGCCUUUUGGUUGUAAAGCACUUUAAGCGAGGAGGAGGCUACCGAGAUUAAUACUCUUGGAUAGUGGACGUUACUCGCAGAAUAAGCACCGGCUAACUCUGUGCCAGCAGCCGCGGUAAUACAGAGGGUGCGAGCGUUAAUCGGAUUUACUGGGCGUAAAGCGUGCGUAGGCGGCUUUUUAAGUCGGAUGUGAAAUCCCCGAGCUUAACUUGGGAAUUGCAUUCGAUACUGGGAAGCUAGAGUAUGGGAGAGGAUGGUAGAAUUCCAGGUGUAGCGGUGAAAUGCGUAGAGAUCUGGAGGAAUACCGAUGGCGAAGGCAGCCAUCUGGCCUAAUACUGACGCUGAGGUACGAAAGCAUGGGGAGCAAACAGGAUUAGAUACCCUGGUAGUCCAUGCCGUAAACGAUGUCUACUAGCCGUUGGGGCCUUUGAGGCUUUAGUGGCGCAGCUAACGCGAUAAGUAGACCGCCUGGGGAGUACGGUCGCAAGACUAAAACUCAAAUGAAUUGACGGGGGCCCGCACAAGCGGUGGAGCAUGUGGUUUAAUUCGAUGCAACGCGAAGAACCUUACCUGGUCUUGACAUAGUAAGAACUUUCCAGAGAUGGAUUGGUGCCUUCGGGAACUUACAUACAGGUGCUGCAUGGCUGUCGUCAGCUCGUGUCGUGAGAUGUUGGGUUAAGUCCCGCAACGAGCGCAACCCUUUUCCUUAUUUGCCAGCACUUCGGGUGGGAACUUUAAGGAUACUGCCAGUGACAAACUGGAGGAAGGCGGGGACGACNUCAAGUCAUCAUGGCCCUUACGACCAGGGCUACACACGUGCUACAAUGGUCGGUACAAA
rnacentral:rRNA from 1 species